AUGAGGUUCCAGUAUUACAGAUGGGACCUGGCCUGGGCAACACUUCAUAGUAUAUUAUCUGUUAGGGUGAUGAGGUUGCAGUAUUACAGAUGGGACCUGGCCUGGCCAACACAUUAUAACCAAUCACAGGCAAUGGUAGCAUUCUUGCCUGACUUCAUUGCAGACGCCUGCCAGAUCUCACAACGAGUGGAUAGGUGUUUAACAUGUCAGCUAACCACACCAUAUGAUAUUGAAAUCUGAUGCUCGACUGCACAGACACUGGCACAUCAAAAGGCACAGUUUAGUGGCACGUUUUAGAAGGACCACUGGAGUGAUCAGGUAUUGAAGUACAGUCUAAGGAUGAAUAACAAGUACAUACAUAUGAACAUGCAUAUGUUAAAACACACAUACAUGCUGUCUCGCACGCACAUUGACUGAAACAUAUAAACAUGCUUGUGUACACAUACACCACCAAGUUAAAGUGCUUUUAGUAUUGUUAACAUACAUCUCCAAUACAUAUAUUCCUGUGAAAAAUAAUAAAAAAAUAACAGAAACACUAAACAUCAGGGUUGGAAUGAAUUACAUUUCAAUUCUAGUCAAUUCAGGAAGUACACUGAAAUUCCAAUUUCAUUUCUCUUCAGUGCUUUUCAAUGAGUGACAAUGACAAUUUGGAAUUGGAAUUUGGUUUACUUUCUGAAUUGACCGGAAUUUAAAUGGAAUGGACCACAACCCUGCUAAGCAUAUACUCAGAUGAAUAAGUACUGCUGGAUAUCGCAUCGUUAUGGACCGAUACAUACAGUAUGCAUACAAUAUCAUAUAUUCAAUCAAAAUCCUUCAAGAAAAAUGUAUUUUUUUUUCUCCAAUAUUUCCACUCUCAUGUCCUGCAGACAGAGUACCUUUCUGUGUUAAAAACAGUAACAGUACCAUGAUUCCACAGGAGGAUGGUGGCACCUUAAUUGGGGAAGAUGGGCUUGUGGUAAUGGCUGGAGUGGAAUAAGUGGAAUGUUAUCGAAUACAUCAAACACAUGGUUUCCAUGUGAUGCCAUUCCAUUUACUCUGUUCCAGCCAUUAUUAUGAGCCGUCCUCCCCUCAGCAGCCUCCACUGCAUGGUUCUUUUGAUUAUGUCCUCGUGAACCAUGUUUUGUCCUGGUAAACCAGUCAACCUUGACCUUUCCAGUCACACAAGUCUUCUUAUAAAAAAUACAGACAAAUUAAGUUUAAAAAGCUUUCUUGGUCCGUCUUUGAUUACAGGACAGUAGACACAAAUGGGAUGUAUUUUGAUCCUUUGAAGGUUAUCACCUGUUGAAUCCUUACCAACCACAAGGGGGCGAUAUAUUCGCAUCAAGUCCGAAAAAGGAGCGUGUGUGUGUGUUCACAUUUCCCAACAGAGGAGCAGCUCGUCUCUCUUUCAUUCAACUCUUUAUUCUCACUUGAUAAUUUAUCAAUCUCCAUACAGUCUCCUCUCUUUUCUCCUUUCUCAUAACUCUCUCAUUCCAUCUCAUUCAUGCUCUCUCUCUCUCUCUCUCUUUC
rnacentral:lncRNA from 8 species